GGGUUGUGAGGUUAAGCGACUAAGCGUACACGGUGGAUGCCCUGGCAGUCAGAGGCGAUGAAGGACGUGCUAAUCUGCGAAAAGCGUCGGUAAGGUGAUAUGAACCGUUACAGCCGGCGAUGUCCGAAUGGGGAAACCCAGUGCAAUUCGUUGCACUAUCGUUAACUGAAUACAUAGGUUAACGAGGCGAACCGGGGGAACUGAAACAUCUAAGUACCCCGAGGAAAAGAAAUCAACCGAGAUUCCCCCAGUAGCGGCGAGCGAACGGGGAGCAGCCCAG
rnacentral:rRNA from 2 species